GUAGUCUUCAGGCUGGUACUGGAAAUUCUAGGAGUGGUGCCUGUGCUGAGAGACUUUUUACCAUCUUUAAAGAGCAGGAAGAUUCACUUCCAGAGCCUUGAGACAACAUGUAAAAAGUUCAACUACCCUGAGACUGCAGUGAUGGAGAUGUCAUGUGGAGAGACCACAUGGAAAGUCCCUGAAGCUACAGGAGGAGAGCGAGAGAGAGAGAGAAAGAGAUCGAUCCCCCAAGAGACUUCAAUCAUUUGAGUCAUCCCAGCCCAGGAACCAGACAUGUGAAUGAAGAAGCUACCAGAUAAUCCCAGCCACCAGAUACCAGCUCCCAGCCACUGGAGGCACUCCCCCACUCUUCAAGUCUCCCCACCUUAAGCCCUAGAUGUCAUGGAUCAGAGACAAACCAUCCCCACUAUGCCCUGUCCAAACUUCAGACCCACAAAAACCAUGAGCAUAUUAAAAAUGAUUGCUGUUUUAUGCCACUGAGUUCUCGGAUGGUUUCUUACACAGCAAUCGAAAACUGGAACACGGCUGGGUGCAGUGGCUCAUGACUGUAAUCCCGGCACUUUGGGAGGCUGAGACAGGU
rnacentral:lncRNA from 1 species